rnacentral:rRNA from 1 species
GUUAGGCCUGCUCACUGUAUAAAAAUAAAGAGCUGCAGUACUUUUGACUGUACUAAGGUAGCAUAGUAAUUAGUUUAUUAAUUAUAGACUAGAAUGAAGGGUUUAACAGAUUUUAGCUUUUUUUAUUAAAUAACUUGAAAUUGGAUUUAGGGUGAAAAUUCUUUAAUGGAUUUAAAAGACGAUAAGACCCUUAGAAUUUAAUUUAGAGGAUUUAAUUUUUGGUAGAAUUAAUAGGUUUAUUUAGAUAAAUUUAGCUGGGGCGGCUUUGGAGCAUAAAAAACCUCUUACGUAAAAGGAUUUUUAUUAAAUUAAUAAAAUGAUCCUCUUAAGGGGAUAAAGAUAAAUUACCUUACGGAUNACAGCGUAAUCCAGUUUGUGAGUUCAUAUCUUUUAUNGGGUUUGCGACCUCGAUGUNGAAUUAAGAUUU